rnacentral:rRNA from 1 species
UGAGGAAUAUUGGACAAUGGAUGGAAAUCUGAUCCAGCCAUGCCGCGUGCAGGAAGACGGCCCUAUGGGUUGUAAACUGCUUUUGUAUGGGAGCAAUAAGGACUACGUGUAGUUUGAUGAGAGUACCAUACGAAUAAGCAUCGGCUAACUCCGUGCCAGCAGCCGCGGUAAUACGGAGGAUGCGAGCGUUAUCCGGAUUUAUUGGGUUUAAAGGGUGCGUAGGCGGCGAUAUAAGUCAGUGGUGAAAUAUUUCGGCUUAACCGAGAGACUGCCAUUGAUACUGUGUUGCUAGAAUAUGGUUGCUGUGAGUGGAAUGUGUGGUGUAGCGGUGAAAUGCUUAGAUAUCACACAGAAUAUCGAUUGCGAAGGCAGCUCACAAGGCCAUUAUUGACGCUGAGGCACGAAAGUGUGGGGAUCAAACA